rnacentral:rRNA from 1 species
CGCCUAACACAUGCAAGUCGAGCGAGAAUAAGAUAGCUUGCUAUUUUAGGAAAGCGGCGAACGGGUGAGUAAAAUGUUGCUACCUGCCCUCAAGUCGGGGAUAGCCCAUUGAAAGAUGGAUUAAUACCGGAUAGUCUCUACGGAGUAAAAAUUUAUUGCUUGAGGAGGGGGCUUCAAUCUAUCAGCUAGUUGGCGAGGUAACUGCUCACCAAGGCAAUGACGGAUAACUGAUCUGAGAGGAUGAUCAGUCACAAUGGAACUGAGACACGGUCCAUACUCCUACGGGAGGCAGCAGUGAGGAAUCUUCCACAAUGGGCGAAAGCCUGACGGAGCGACACCGCGUGAAGGAAGAAGGCCUAACGGUUGUAAACUUC